rnacentral:rRNA from 1 species
UACGGAGGGUGCAAGCGUUAUCCGGAUUUACUGGGUUUAAAGGGUGCGUAGGUGGGUAGGAAAGUCAGUGGUGAAAUCUUCGGGCUUAACCCGGAAACUGCCAUUGAUACUAUUUAUCUUGAAUACUUUGGAGGUAAGCGGAAUAUGUCAUGUAGCGGUGAAAUGCUUAGAUAUGACAUAGAACACCAAAGGCGAAGGCAGUGUCCUGGGGAGUACCUGACGCUCAGGUGCGAAAGCCAGGGGAGCGAACGGG